CAGUCGCCGCGGUAAUACAGAGGGUGCAAGCGUUAAUCGGAAUUACUGGGCGUAAAGCGCGCGUAGGUGGUUUGUUAAGUUGGAUGUGAAAGCCCCGGGCUCAACCUGGGAACUGCAUCCAAAACUGGCAAGCUAGAGUACGGUAGAGGGUGGUGGAAUUUCCUGUGUAGCGGUGAAAUGCGUAGAUAUAGGAAGGAACACCAGUGGCGAAGGCGGCCCCCUGGACAAAGACUGACGCUCAGGUGCGAAAGCGUGGGGAGCAAACAGGAUUAGAUACCCGUGUAGUCCCUGUCUCUUAUAC
rnacentral:rRNA from 1 species